AACCCAGAACCCACCUACUUGUGAAAUACUUUGCUUCAGCAAAUGGACAGAAUUAUAAACUGCAUUGUAGGGAUGUCUGUCUGUGAGCUAUUCCGCUACAAAAGCACAUUUUUUUCUAGCCUGGUUCUUCUGUGGAAAUAAUAAUCAAUUCUGUCAAUUAUUUGUUUCACCAGCUGGCAAAAAGGGAUGUUUUGGCAAGCCAUGUUUCCAGACUGACUGCCAAUGUCAGAUGACCCAAAGCACAACGUCCGCCCUUCCUUCAAAACCGUGUGUUAGGGUACUGCCUGACCUCACGAGAAGCACCAUGAGAAUGCAAAUGUGUUUUUGAGUAGCGUGCUUCAUGCGCGCUUAUUAAAUCAUCAGAAGCACAGAGGUGGCUUCAUGGGUCCCAAAAUUCAUAGUGCUGCGCCUCCUGGUGGCCUGCGGGCAAAGCUUACUGGCCAAACCCAACACGGCAGGGGUCCUCAACCUCAAGCAACUUUAAGAUGGGUUGAGGAACCCUGCAACGGGGAUCGGCCCAGCCAGCAGCCUGCCUUUGGCAUUAGAAAGUUACUACCCCUCCUUAAUGCUUAGUAAGGUCUGGAACUAAUAUCUGAAAUAGUUUAUACAUGAUCAAAUUGUACUAUUCCACGUACAAACCACAUAUGCUUCCAUUCGCCACAAAUUUCCUUCCAAAAACAAAUAAAGCAAAACAGAAACCAGGGAGAAAAUAGCGGUGGAAUUUCUAAACAUUCACAUCUACUCAAAUGCUGCCUCCCAGAAACUUCAGGAUUUCCAAAAUUUCACAAUAAUGUAAGAUCUAGAUGACUGGACAACUUGGGGUACAGCCCAUGUUUACAGGAAAAUUUGCCCAACCUGAGCUCCAUCCACUUCGGUAUUUCCCCACAGGCCUGCAAAAAUUCCAGUGGAACGUCAGGCGACAGACUUGCCAGCCAGAAAGCAAAGCGCAGAGUCUUGAGUGGGGCAGGGGACGUUGUUUGCAAGUGACAGGCCCAUUCCUCACACUCUUUUCCAGCUCUUCAAAGUGAUUUUUCAGAGGCUAAACUAAUCUUUUCCUACUGAUGCCUUCAGCUAUGGUGAACAACUCCCUUAAUCCCCUACCAACACAGACUUUAGCCCUCCGAAAUGGCAUUCUGAGCGCUGUAAUCCAAGGCGUCAGAUGGGAGAAGCUUGAACGAGAAGACGGAAGCCCAACGCGGCGUCCCUUGCUCAAGAGAAGACGCACGAGACAAUCACAUCACACCCACAAGCACAGCAGCGCCUAAGAGAGAAUCUACCAGGGAAGGGAGGAGAAGGGAGGGAGAGGGCACGGCCCUCGGAGGCCCAAGCUGGUCAGCCGGUGUCUGGGUUGUCGCCCGAUCACAAAGCAUCGAAGGCUUUGGGAAAACAGGUGGUGGGGUGGGGAGUCUAAAUACAAGGAAGAGUGUGGUGACCCAAAUGACCCCACACACAAAUGCUGCCCCGAGGCACCAUCUUUGGGGAGAUGGGAUGCAGGGAUCUUCCUAAAAAGCCGAAGCCAUGUCUCCAAAGUGGAGGAGACCCCACGCUCCCCUUCCCCCAGCCCCCAACAAGAGUAUUGCCUUAAUCAAAGAACGCCCUUGCCGACCCCCCUCCCCAGCCCUUUCUGCCUCCCCAAGAACGCAGCUAAGUGCCAGGACUGCAGCCAUCUGGAAGCACACGGAAGAUCUCUUUCCUUUAAAGCAGCUUUAAGUGCCAAGGCAAAUCCACAAGGGAGGGGUGGUGGCAAAAGGGUAGUUUUGAAGCCGGGCGGGGGGGGUGGAAAAUGUCAGCCCUUGCUUUGGGAGGACUCGACCAGCAGUGCAGUCUUUACAGUGCAUGCGGUCACUGCUGAACACUGAACGCCCAGGACUGGAAGCAGACCUCGUGGCGGGGCUGCCCCAACUGUAGUGUUGCUCACCAAACGCCGAGCCGAGCAGAGCUGGCAGCUGUGGGGGCUGCCACUGCAAAAGCGGGCUGUGCCUCUGCGGGGGCAGAAAAGUCUGGUGUGACCUGGUUUCUUUCCCGCUUGGCACUGCCCGGCCUUCCCCAGAAUUUCUCCCUGGCAAGGCUUGGAAUUCUCCGCCAGGGAAUUCUGCGCCUCGGUUAAGGUGAUGCAAAAGGUCAGAGCAGCACUCGCAGGUGACAUUUCAUACGCUGCAAACAAUCAUCAGUACACAGAGAGACAGGAAAAAAGGUAACCUCAAACAGGGAUCGGGGUCAACAUGACCUAACUCAGAUCAGCUUAUUGCCACGUCAGUCUUUGUGUGUUUUAGGUAAUCAAUUGAAAAGAGAAGAAUCCAGAACCAGGGACAAUUUCCUGCUAAAGGAAACAGCAAUAAUGACAGGGUGAUUCCCGCGCAGAAACUUCAGGAACCUUUAGAGAGCUCCAAGCAAAACACUCGUCUUCUGCCCUGAUGCACGACCCCGUAACAUUUGGCAGAAGAUGGAGGUGGAGAUCCCGCAUCCGGGUUCCUGACAGUAGACCCCCCCAGGGGGGCUUCCUUUUCAGUAGGCAUAUACAGGACCACGCAAACUUUUUUGUAUACAUGUAGCAUCUCUAAAUGUUAAAAGGGGGGAGGGGGAGAACUCCUCUGUAUAUUCAUUAUUUAGUGUCUUCCCCCUGCCUGAAACACUCCAUAUGUCAAGGCUAGCCAAGCAAGGAAUAUUUACAAAUAUUCCAAUUAGUUGUCCAAGAAUAUCAAAGUCUGUUUGCAAACCCUUGGGAGUUUGCAGGUAUUCCAAAAGAAGAAAGAAAAAAUGUUUCCAUGAUUUAUCUCCUCUUCCCCUCCAAACUGCUAGCGUGCAGGCCAAAGGAGAAAAUGUUUCUUUGAACAAACACAGGAUGGCAAUUUUGGCAAAAAAUUACUUGAACACUGAUGGCAAAUUGAAAAAAAAAAA